rnacentral:rRNA from 1 species
GAUGAACGCUGGCGGCGUGCCUAUUACAUGCAAGUUGAGCGAAGCGGGGACGGGUGAGUAACACGUGGAUAACCUCCUAUAAGACUGGGAUAACUUCGGGAAACCGUAGCUAAACCGGAUAAUUAUAGAUGGCUCCGCGCUGCAUUAGCUAGUUGGUAAGGUAACGGCUUACCAAGGCAACGAUGCAUAGCCGACCUGAGAGGGGGAUGGGCCAAACUGGAACUGAGACACGGUCCAGGAUCGUACGGGAUGCAGCAGUAGGGAAGCUUCCGCAGUGGGCGAAAGCCUGACGGAGGAAAGGCGCGUGAGUGAGGAAGGAAUUCGGAUCGUAAAACUCUGUUAUUAGGGAAACGGUACCUAAUCAGAAAGCCACGGCUAACGACGUGCCAGCAGCCGCGGUAAUUC